UCGAGCGGUAACAGAAAGUACUUGCUACUUUGCUGACGAGCGGCGGACGGGUGAGUAAUGCUUGGGAACAUGCCUUGAGGUGGGGGACAACAGUUGGAAACGACUGCUAAUACCGCAUAAUGUCUACGGACCAAAGGGGGCUUCGGCUCUCGCCUUUAGAUUGGCCCAAGUGGGAUUAGCUAGUUGGUGAGGUAAUGGCUCACCAAGGCGACGAUCCCUAUCUGGUUUGAGAGGAUGAUCACCCACACUGGGACUGAGACACGGCCCACACUCCUACGGGAGGCAGCAGUGGGGAAUAUUGCACAAUGGGCGCAAGCCUGAUGCACCCAUGCCGCGUGUGUGAAGAAGGCCUUCGGGUUGUAAAGCACUUUCACUCAAGAGGAAAGGUUAAUAUUUAAUACCUGCUAGCUGUGACGUUACUGACAGAAAAAGCACCGGCUAACUCCGUGCCAGCAGCCGCGGUAAUACGGAGGGUGCGAGCGUUAAUCGGAAUUACUGGGCGUAAAGCGUACGCAGGCGGUUUGUUAAGCGAGAUGUGAAAGCCCCGGGCUCAACCUGGGAACUGCAUUUCAAACUGGCAAACUAGAGUGUGAUAGAGGGUGGUAAAAUUUCAGGUGUAGCGGUGAAAUGCGUAGAGAUCUGAAGGAAUACCGAUGGCGAAGGCAGCCACCUGGGUCAACACUGACGCUCAUGUACGAAAGCGUGGGGAGCAAACAGGAUUAGAUACCCUGGUAGUCCACGCCGUAAACGAUGUCUACUAGAAGCUCGGAACCUCGGUUCUG
rnacentral:rRNA from 1 species